GAUGAACGCUGGCGGCGUGCCUAAUACAUGCAAGUCGAGCGAACAGACGAGGAGCUUGCUCCUCUGACGUUAGCGGCGGACGGGUGAGUAACACGUGGAUAACCUACCUAUAAGACUGGGAUAACUUCGGGAAACCGGAGCUAAUACCGGAUAAUAUAUUGAACCGCAUGGUUCAAUAGUGAAAGACGGUUUUGCUUUCACUUAUAGAUUGAUCCGCGCCGCAUUAGCUAGUUGGUAAGGUAACGGCUUACCAAGGCGACGAUGCGUAGCCGACCUGAGAGGGUGAUCGGCCACACUGGAACUGAGACACGGUCCAGACUCCUACGGGAGGCAGCAGUAGGGAAUCUUCCGCAAUGGGCGAAAGCCUGACGGAGCAACGCCGCGUGAGUGAUGAAGGUCUUCGGAUCGUAAAACUCUGUUAUUAGGGAAGAACAAAUGUGUAAGUAACUAUGCACGUCUUGACGGUACCUAAUCAGAAAGCCACGGCUAACUACGUG
rnacentral:rRNA from 1 species